rnacentral:rRNA from 1 species
AGUCCCGCGUCCGGCGGGAACACGACCGGCAAACGGGUGAGUAACGCGUAUGCAACCUGCCUGUAACCGGGCCAUAGCCCCGAGAAAUCGGGAUUAAUAGCCCAUAUUAUCCCUUAGUCGCCUGACUUCGGGAUGAAAGCUCCGGCGGUUACAGAUGGG